CGUGUAGGCGGCUGAGCAAGUCAGAUGUGAAAUCCCUGGGCUUAACCCAGGAAGUGCAUUUGAAACUGCUUAGCUUGAGUAAGGAAGAGGGAAGUGGAAUUCCUGGUGUAGGGGUGAAAUUCGUAGAUAUCAGGAGGAACACCGGUGGCGAAGGCGACUUCCUGGUCCUAUACUGACGCUGAGACGCGAGAGCGUGGGGAGCAAACA
rnacentral:rRNA from 1 species